rnacentral:rRNA from 1 species
GACAGAGGUGCCAAGCGUUAGGCGGAAUCACUGGGCUUAAAGCGUGUGUAGGCGGAAUGGUAAGUACCUUGUGAAAUCCCACGGCUCAACCGUGGAACUGCUUGGUAUACUGCUUUUCUUGAGCCACUUAGGGGCUGUCGGAACAAACGGUGGAGCGGUGAAAUGCGUAGAUAUCAGGAGGAACACCGAUGGCGAAGGCAGGUCUCUGGGCUGACACUGACGCUCAUGCACGAAAGCGUGGGGAGCAAACAGG